rnacentral:rRNA from 1 species
UACAGAGGGGGCAAGCGUUGUUCGGAAUUACUGGGCGUAAAGGGCGCGUAGGUGGCCUUCUAAGUUGAACGUGAAAUCCCUGGGCUCAACCCAGGAACUGCGUCCAAGACUGGGAGGCUUGAAUCCGGGAGAGGGAUGCGGAAUUCCAGGUGUAGCGGUGAAAUGCGUAGAUAUCAGGAGGAACACCGAUGGCGAAGGCAGGUCUCUGGGCCACUACUGACGCUGAGAAGCGAAAGCAUGGGGAGCGAACAGG